GUGUUAAAGGCCAGUUUUUGUGAUUUUUUUGUCCUUUUUGGUAUUUGAUGUUUUUUUACCUCAAUCCGGUGAUGACGUCACGUUGGGGAGAGUAUACUCAGCCUAAUACUAGAACUAUAGCAAUUGAC